CAACAAGCCACGAGCAGCUUUGUCCGGAACUGCAGUAUUAUUUUCAUCACGGAGACGUGGCUCCACCCACGAAUCCCCAACGCUGCAGUUUUGCUAGCAGGCUGCACAGUACAUCGACAAGACAGAACCAAAGACUCCGGUGAGAUUACCAGUGGUGAAUGGAGAAUUGCUGCUGUGCACAUCCACCUCUCCAUCUUUGAGUUCCUCCUCAGUUUUGCGCUUUACACCUGUGAAGAGACAAUGAUGAUAAUCAUUGUUAUCCAAAGGACAGGGGCACAGCCAACAUUUAUGUGAUGACCGGAAUCGAUGAGCUGUAGAAUGGAGUCUCUCGGUGUCACUGCGAGUCGCGGUGACUUUAAAUACAUGCCAUAACUAAAGAGAGUGAGGCGCAGGUGAGGAGCUUCUGCUGAGGGCAGCCGCACAGAGCAGUGGCCUGGCCACGCCCCUGACAACAAAGAAAUACCACUUCAUUGAUGAGUGCUUACCUUUCCAGGCUCUGAAGUUUCUACUGGCAUUGUAGUUUUUGUGCAGAAGGAGGCCAUUCAUGAAAUUGUAGACUUUAGAACUAAUUGGGCGAUUCCUCAAGAAAUCACUGAUGAUUCUGGAUACAUCUGUAGGUGAAUCUAUGAGGUCUUAUCCCCACUCGGGUCACAGGCAUGCUGGAGACUAUCCCAACUGACUCUGCGUGAGAGCUGCAAUUCUUUUUGCACUCCACCCAUAUAUCCAUUAUUAACGGCUUAUUCGAGAUCCAGUCACGGGCCAUCUUCUUAUGCAGCACACCCCAGACUCCAGCCUCUCCGGCCACUUCAUCCAGCUGCUCCAGAGGAAUACCGAGGCAUCUGCAUGCCAGCCAAGAGACAUAGUCACUCCAACAUGUCCGAGGUUGGGUUGUCCCUCUGGCCUCCUCCCGGUGGGACCUAGCCUGAACACCUCAUCAGGUCAAGAUUCAAAAUGUCUGGGAAUGCAUCAUCCUGCCUGCACUAAAUCCAUUGACACGUCCAACCAUUGCAGUGAUAUCGCCAAGCACCAUACAAAUGAAAAGGCACAUCUGGGCUGUGUCAAUCACAUCCGUAGAUUCGUCCAACUGCAGUGAGAAACACUCACAAUCUCCAAUGUCCUUUCAGAUUUGCCGGAUUAAAUCCUCAUUCAUGGCUUCACAGCAACAUGUAACCGUAUGUCUGACAAUUGCAGUGCUUUGAUUGAAGAUUAUAUCCCUGCCUUAUUUUCCAAGUCCUGGAACAAUGAGUUCGCUGCUUCAACGAAUACCUCUUUUACCAUCUCUCUGUCUUCGAAGGACUUACUGUUUUUAACGAUAACAAGACACCCAGAACAAUGCUUCAGUGGCGGCUUUCACUUUUGAAGUUUGUCGAGUGAAAAAUGACUGCUGUCCAGACAACUGGGAUUUGAAUUCCUUCACCUUUCUCUUUCUCAGCUCACUUUUUGGCGGGACGUCGGUGUAUUUUCCAUGAACUGUCCAAAAAUGCCGUUCCAUAUUUCCCUUCUUUGGUAUUGCGAUGGUAGACUGGCAUAUGAGGCAAAUGCACUUCGAAAAUGACGUCGUGAAUAAAAUGUCCACAUCCCAUUCUGUAUGAAAGUGAUAUGUUUUUGCCUUCUUACUUGGUCCAGCUUCCUCAUUCAUUUUGAUGACCAUAAGUUUUAGCGAGGGCUUAAAAGUGGAGGAAGAUCACUGACUAGCUUGUAAAUUUUGCCGUGCUUAGUGCCAUUGAAAUGUCUUUCGUUGAAAGAUUUGUAUAUUUCGUAAGAUAAAUAAGUUAGCUAAAAAUAUGUUUAUUUCAUGAUACGGUGCAUUAAAAUGUUUAAAAGAAAAAGGAUCAGAAUGACACCUCUUGACCUGUGAGGAUCAUUCAGCUUCUAUGCGGAGUGAGUGCUCUGUAUGUUAUAGAGGAUCAUUGACGUGUCUCCGGUGAGAAUAUGAGCAUGGCUGACAUUAAGUCUGAAGGCAACUCAUAACUCUGUUGAAUGUGUUCUACACAUUUGAACCUUGGGAAACUUUUGUCUUUGAGGAUGCCAUUGCUGUGAUAUUCACAAGAGGGUUCUUCACUAAAAAAUAAAGAAAAAAAAAUGACAUAGUUGCUGAAAGAAAAAGGAAGAAGUUGCUGUUGUAUACAAGGUCUGUCAGAAAAGUUCCAGAACUGCUGACAUUACAAACCACAAGUUUUCCACUUUCCACAACAAAGAGAUCCUGCGGCAUUUGCUUCAUUUAGUGUGCAAGAAGUUAGAGUCUCACAAUGCCCUGAGGGUCCAACACUUCCUGGAGGAAAAUAACACUGACGUCCUGGAGCAACUUCCCUAAUCACCUGACCUGGCUCUAUGAGAUUGUUUUCUCAUCUUUCCUGAGUUCAAGGGUGUUAUCAAGGGAAUAUACUUUGAAGACAUAGUGAAACCUCAAGAUGCCGGGGACUGUGGAGCUGCGGAGGAUCCCAAAAGAAUCCUUCUAACUACAUGGAGAUAGCCCCCACAUUGUCUCUUGUGUUUUUAAGUUAUUAACCAAUCUUCAGUGUUGAAAAUACUGACCAAAGAGCAAAUCUAUGUACUCUUCUUCAUAUUAGCAGUCUGAGAAGUGUCAUUACUUUUAAGACUUUAUCCUCACUCCAAAGGAGCCUCACAACAUUAAGUUACUUAAAAGACUGAAAGUGUAUAUUCUUUUAGAUAAAAUAUUGCUCAGCUCAUUGUUUUUUUUCUUUAAUUGCAUCUCUUAUGGCUCCUAGACGCAGCGGGUGGUAGUGAUGUGAUAUGUCGAGUAAUUGACUUUACACUGAUCCACUCGGUUUGAUCGGUAUUGGUCGAUAAUUAGCAUUGUAUGCUAAUCAGCUGAUUGGCUUCUAUGUUAUAUUGCACCAAUCGAGUCACUGACAUCAUCGCUCGGCUCCACAAAGGGGCUUUACUCUGUGUCCCCAUCGCGUAUGAAUCUAAAGCUAGUUUAUUUUUAGUUUUUUUACGUGUUUUGUGAUGUUGUGCUGUAGCAAUCGAUGGCCAAAUCACGUUUUUUUUUUUUUUCAAUCUUAUUGGUGAAAAAACACAUAAUCGGUGUGGGACUAUUUUACAGUGUCUCAGAGAAACAACACAAGCUAUUUUCAAUCUGUGUACAACUGAAAGUACGUCUUGUAGUACAUCAUUGAAAUUCUUCAACGUGAAAAAUUUGGUCUGGCACCUGAAGAAUGUACACAAGGAAGAGCAUGCCGUGUCCAAGCAACACAGCGUAGGGAGGAACCAAAAAAAGGGAAAAUCCAACGCGGACAAACUCUGGACAACACCGAACCAUAUCGCCGGGACAAUGAAAAAGUAAGCAUGUCAUUAAAAGGUAUUUGUUAAAGUA